GUUUGACAUCACUGUUGACCUCAAUGGCAAAAACGCUAAUUACAGACUUGAAUGCUAUCUGUGACUUUUCUCACCAAACUUCCGCUUAUCACUUUGAAUCUGUAACAUGUGAAAUGAAUUGAGUCAACAGGAAGCGGGGUGUAGAUCAUGUUUUUUUUCCAAACUGCCGUCUGAGGGGACUGAGCAAUGGAGGAUGGAGGCAGGGCCAUGUCAUACCACAUCAUCAUACCACAUCCUGCCUCACCCUCCAACCUGCACCUUAUGGCUCUGUUGGCGUGGUAAUCAAAACGGACCGUUUCCUCUUGUCAACUUCGAAUGGGUGGCUUCUGGUUCGAGGUAUCCCAUGGGGCCAUAGGGCAGGGUGCGAUAAUGAGUGUUGCUGCAGAAGAGGAAAUUACGAGUAAAGGGGAAGAGGCAGUGAGAUGAGAAAGCUGGACAAUUAGACAUGAUGAGAUUGACUCUGAUUUCCCUCGCCAUGUGCCUUCCUCACCUCCUCGCCACUCUUGUCUUCCAUUCUACCACUGCGGCUUCACCAAGCGCCACAGAAACAACAACAACAGCUCUAGACCUUAGUAUCAGCACUACAACAUCAGACCCCCUGAUAAUUCCACUCUCCACAACUGAAAACCACCCUGGUAGGACUAGUGGCAUGUUCAACACACAAGUGAAGAAAAGCGCUAGCUUAGCAGCUGUCAACAACUCAGGCAGAACGACUCAAGGAAGAGGCAUUCUCAGAACAGGAACUGCCACUUACGCCACCACAGCUGUACAGAAGAGCAACAGGCACAUAACUGCAGGAGACUUGAGGAGGGAAACAGAGAGCCACAAUCACCAUGAGACUCUUCCCUUCAGCAGACACACAGCCUCACCCACAACUGACCACCCCAGCACCACCUCUCUCCCCGGGGAGGAAGGGACUGAGUAUCAUGACAGCAGCACCACUGAAACAGCCAGAGAACUGAGCACACCAAAUUCCAUAGAGACAUGGGCUGCUGACACCAUUAAUGACUCCAGGCUAGCGAAGCCACACUUAGACAGGUCACAAGCAGCAGACCAGCACCCUGCUACACAAGGACUAGAGAUUGCAUCAGGAGAUUACUACACAACACAGAGAGACUUCUUCACAAUCACCCCAACUAGUAGAGUGACAGGUUUGAACAGAGGUAAACAAAGUAAGGCCAACAGCGUCACAACAACAACAACAACGGUUUCACCUACGUACACAGUCACACGUCCUGGUUUGUAUGAGCACAUGACUGUGACUUACUGGGCUACCGGCUACAAAACACAACCUGACGACACAAGCCAGUCUAUGGACAACCAGGACCACGCCACCAUUUCAAUCCCCCAUGCUGACAAUAGGACAACUCCAUAUAUCAAUGCAAACACGUUUACAGAUAAUGACACAGACAACGACACAAACACACUUUCACACAGUAAUACCACAACCUCUAAUAAUCGUAACACAACAGUACUUUUGAAGGAGAAAACUCAUUCAUUCAGACACAACCACACAAUCUCAGGUUAUGACAACAGGCUGAACAACACAACUGAAAACACUGUGCAUGAUCGUCCUGAGUGCGGAGAGGCAGAUGAAAGGUCCCUGUCGUUGCUUCCUGGCUCUUCUAGACUGGUCUGUUUCAUUGUUCUGUGGGCUCUGGGAUUGACUGCUUCGGUCUUCCUCGGUCUCACUGUCUUCCUGUGGGUGCGUUUGUCAGUCCAGAGAGAGAGGGGAAGGAGAGUGAGGAGAGGAGGAGAGAAUGUGUCAGGGGUGGAUCUGGAGAACCUGUGGGUCGACCAGAUGUCGUCGGUGGAGGAAAGGGUUGAAUUCUGGUACACCAACGGCUCCACCAUGGGACCCGACCAUAAACGGAGGGAGAGAGAGAGAGAGAGGGUGAAGGAGAGGGGGAGGAGGGAGCAGGGGAGGCAGAAAGGGAUAGAGUGUGACAACCUGUGGACUCAACCCAAAGUGACACUGGAGGACAUCACUGAUUUCUGGUAUGCAAAUGGAAGAGCGAUACCAGAAGAAACUACAGACCAAACGCUGUUGGAGACCUGCGUAUGAUUCUGUUUUUUGUACUACAGUACUACAAUUUACCUGGAAUUACUUUGGAGAGAAAUGUUCAUCAUUAUUUUACCAAUUCCAUGGCAGAUUUGAACACUGUAAUCCUGACCAAGUUUAAACAUUUCCAAAAUGAAUUGAUAAUCUGUAUGUUUAUUGGCUGUAACAAAAGUAUAAGUAUGUGAUCUACAUAAGUCUACGGAAAGAUAGAUUAAGGCUGGGUCUGAUCAGAGAGAAAGAAGAGGACAGAGAGAGAGGAAUAGAGAGAGAGAUCAGAACAAUGUCUAACUGGAAAUAACACUUGAUAAGAGAGUUCCCAUUUUAAGACAAUUCAGACCUUGUUAGAGACACAUCAUCAUCGUGUGUCAGACAGCAACGAGGAGAUAGGUGCCAUUUCUACAAACACACUGACACAAAUACGGUUGACUCCUAAUACUGUACAUGCACUGUUAUUAGGAGCUAGUCAAAUAAAAAGGACUGCACUGGGCGUAAACAACUUAGUUUCAUUUACCUGACUGACCAUGUUUACACGCGCACAGCAUUCCAGAUAAUAGCUCAUAACCUAGUUAAGGUCUUAUUCGAGAUAAGCUGUUAAAAUACAUCUUUGAUAUCCCGCUUACGAGUAUCCCUGUAUAAACAGAAUAUUCCUAAAUUUACCCAUGAUACUAUGCAAAACUGAGCUUGUACAAACAAUGUAAAACAACAGUAAACGGAAUAAUAUAUUUGUAUGACACAGUAUCCCGUCUACAAUCAGCAUAUCCCAGGCAUUUUAACUGGGUUUCUCAUAACCGGGACACAAGCUUAUUCGGGUUAUUGUAAACGGGAUAUGAUGCUAAUAUGCGGCAACUAAAAAACGGAAUACUAGAAUAUCCCAAAUAGUAACGGAAUAUCGGUGUGCCUGUGAACAUGGUGACCUAUCAGGAAUUGACUAUAGGUCUACCUCACAAUUGAUAGUGGAUCGGCCAUUUGAUCAAUAAUGUAUAACUGUAAAUACAGUAGAAAAUAUACCCUUGUAGAAUUUAACACCUAACCAGCUGAAGUUUGACAUAUAAUGUCCCAAGACAUGAGAUUUUUUUUUUUUAUUACAUUAUAAAACAGAAUUUUCAUCAUACUCUCUCUACUUUGAAUUCUCAUGUUUUGACAACCUAUGCCCUUUGACUGCCUGCUCCCCACACACACGCACACACACCGUCAAACAAACACACAUCCAAGUAGGCCUGUGUGUACGUGUGCAAACACACUCUGGCUCAAACAUUUCAACACACACACACAGCUUCUUCUCUUUGUAGGACCAACUUCUCCUUUUUCAUCAAGAAAAUAAGCACAUGACGCAAUAAACAAAAUGAAGCUACUCUUAAGUUAUUUGGCACCUCUCUAACCCCACCACUUUCGCAGUUAACAAAACUGUUUUACGAAGAAUUUGAUACUCUGAGGGGAAGAGAUAGAGAGAACCAACUAGAGAGAGAAAGGGAGGGGAGAGAAAGAAGGGAGUGAACAGGAGGGAGGGAGGGAGGGAGCGAGCGAGCGAGAAAGGUGUUUUGGACAUGUACUAGUGCACGAGAUGUCAUUCACACAGUACAGGAGUUAAAGCAUGUGCCUUUAAGGUGGAUUCAUAAUUUCAAUCCAAUCGUUUUCUCCAAGCAACAUGUGGGUAAGUACGAUUUUAGUUUUUUAUCAAAUGGCACACAUUGAUAUAUGUCUGAUCUAAACAGACACUGAUCUGAUUAACUGUGUGAAGAGGCAAGAAAAAGGAGGGAGAGAGAUGUUUCGAAAAUACAAUCAGGUGAACUUUCUUAGGCUUGUGUUAAAUUUACUGACACGCUCUUGUAGUAAGAUGGUCCUCCUAAUGUAUCUCUUCAUAAUUCUUUUUAAAUACAUUUUUAGGGGCCAUUUUCUUUAAAUACGUUAUUUUUAUCAAUUGGUCUUUAAGUCUUCAUCUUUUAUCACUGUCUUUUUAAGACAGGCCAACUUGCUUUUAGACACUCAUUUAGAUUUUUUCCCCCCAUUUCUAUUAUAUGUAACAGUCAAAUGGAUGGUGACAUCGUAGACAAGAAUAAACAACAAAAAGUAGUGUUGGGUAACUUCCUUCAUUUUUUAGGUGUGUACUAAGCAAGCAUUUUACAUCUACAGCGGUUCAGACAGUGGAUGCUGUGAGGAGGUCUCGUGCUUUUUUUGGUUCACCGUUGCUGCAAUCUCUCACGCUACACUUGAAAUAGACAGCUGAUACAGAAAAGUAAAGUGAAGUGCAGGGGAGUAGGAGGAAAGCUGAAGUGCGCGAGAGGAAGAGAAGGGUUGUGUCUUUCCGGUCUAUUUGCACCUAAAUACACCCUAGUGAACAACAAGCCCAGCAACCAGGAGAGACAGCAAGAGAACACAAGUUUGACUAUGUAAGUGCACUUCAUAUGCCUAACACUCAGUCAAACCUUUGUUAAUAAUCUAAGGCAUGGCCUGAAAGAAAGGGAAAUUCCGAGAGCAGUGAAGAUCAAAGCCUGACACACAAUCGUUGUCAAACCAAGAACCCCGGUACCUGAUGACGGAUACCGCUUUUCUUUUCUAGAAUGUACAUUUUUCUGCUCUAGACUUGUAAAACAAACCUCCAAUACCUUUCAAGCCACAACGCUGUCGCUGAUGCACCUCAGAAAGAGGAAGACAAACGUAAUCUGAGAGAUCAGCAAAACCCUUCAGGGACGGUUGACCUCUGUGACCCCUCUCACUUCUUGCCCAGUAUGGAGCGGAUACAGCUGAUGCUUGGGGCUCUGCUCCUCUCCCUCUCUCUGCCCAGUCUCCCUGCCCAAGAUAAUGUCACCGUCACUGUACCUGAGAAUGUCACCAUGGCAGCACCUAUUAAUGAGGAAGUCACGAUGGCAGCCUCUACACCGGAGGCCACCAUAGAGACAACGCCUGCUCCUGUGGUCAUCACUAGGGCACAGCCUGCCCCUGAAAUCAUCACCCCGGUAACUGCUAUUCCGAAAGUAACUUCUGUUUUAGUACGUACCACUGAUGCCAUCACUAUGGUAAUAACAAACCCUGAGAUCACCAUCGUUCAGGAGUCCACCUCUGAUGCACCAACUACUACUUCAGAGGUUGAAACGAUGACACCUUCCCCUGUGACCACUGAAGGGCCUAUAGAUACGACCAAUCCACCUGGUCCUAAACCCACCCUCUCCCAAGACGUCCUUAUGACCGCCUCUUAUCUCCCAACCCCUUCCCAGGACCACCUGACAUUUGUUAUCCCAGUCUGGCCCCUCCAAACCACCCCUCAUCUGACGGAGGACUCCACUUACACACCUGAACCUACACCUGCCUCAGAGAUUACUGCCUACCACACAGAGGGACUUACCACUGCACCCACCUCCCCAUUGGUCAAUCCCCCUCCCGGCCAUGCCACGACCCCCGCUACCACCCACACCUCCACAGAUCCAGACUCUACGGUGGCUGGGGUCAGGGUGAAGACAGGUCAGCCCAGCUUGUUAUGGGUCAUCAUCGUUGCUCUCCUGAUCGUGGUUAUAUUCGCGGGCGGGUUCUACUGUGUUUGUCUGGUCAUCAGACGAAAGAGGCAGAGCCACACCGAGUACUUUGUGUCCAGCUUCCGGAACGGGAAGAGUUCCAAGCGGAAGAAAGGGGCGGAGGAAGACGCCUGGGCAGGGCCAGUGAAGCUAGGGCGUGGGGAUGGGGAGGAGGAUGAGGGUGGGGAGGAGGGAGGGAGCCCAGAGGACAACAAGAGAGAGGGGGCUGGAACGGAUGUGGUGCUGAGCACAUUCAUAGCCAACGAGACUGAGGGAGAGAGGGGUGGGCCUGAUGGGGGAGUAGGAGUGGCUGGGAGCAAGGAGGCAGAGAAAUGGGAGGAGAAGGAGCCUCUGCUGUACAUUGAUGAGGGAGUGGAGGAGGGGCAAGAGAGGAUGGCUCUUCCUUCACUUUCAAAAUCGAACUGAGAAAAGACAGGAGGGGAAAAAAGAGAGGGGGAAAGUGAAAAAGAAAUGGAGAGGGGAGAAGGGAAUGGAAAGAAAGAAAAUUAGAGUGAGAGGUAAGAAGAAUGGAGGAGCGGCAUUCUGUCUAACCACUGCAGUUUAAAAAUAGAAGAGUUUUCCAUAAAAAGAUUUUCUAGGUGAUAAUGUAAAAGUUAAAAAUAUUUUUGUACUACUGAAAAGGCCUUUGACAUUGUAUGUAUCUGUGAUUGUGUGCUCUGUCAACAUAACUCAGGGAAGAUAGGAGUGGUUGUGUGCAUGGUCAUAAGUUUUACCCUUGGUAUUUUGUAUGCUGUUUUGUCUUAAUGUUUUUUUGUUAAAUAAAGUUUUAGAUGUGCAGAGUGCAUGUUCUAGAAUGAAGUUGUUGAACGUGGCAGAAUAUUAAUACUUUUUGCUUAACAAUUUGCGGUCUUCAAAUGCACUUUAUUUAUGGAACUGCUUAAAUCAAUAGCAAUCAAUUCAUAGGUGCAAAUCUGAACUUCCACUGAGACAAAUAGUCACUUAGUCUCCCAUUGACAUCAUGACUAAGUGAAUAUUCAACUUCAGUGGAAGUUGGGAUUUGUCCCAUAGAAAAGGCUUUGUUUACUUGAUUUGAUAUGGGGUUCCCGAGUGGCGCAGCGGUCUAAGGCACUGCAUCUCAGUGCUAGAGGCGUCACUACAAACACCCUGAUUUGAAUCCAGGCUGUAUCACAACCGGCUAUGAUUGGGAGUCCCAUAGGGUGGUGCACAAUUGGCCCAGCAUUGUCCGAGUUUGGCCGGUGUAGGCUGUGAUUGUAAAUAAGAAUUUGUUCUUAAUUGACUUGCCUGGUUAAAUAAAAAAAACAUACGUGUUGCUGAUUAUGGCCACUAGGUUGUGCCCUUUCCCCAUCUUUAUGAUCAGAGCACAGUUCAAUGUGACCUGCAGUAAAGAGCGGUGUUGUGAUGACGCACAGGUCUUCUAUUCUACUGGUCUGUUUUUUCUGAAGUUGCAUCUGUUGCAAACGUCUAGCAGAGAAAACAGCAGAGAUCAAAAACAGUUGUUCAGGCAAACAACUCAGUCAUAGAACCCCUCUGAUGUGAUGUGAUCACAAAUUAAACUUAAAGCCACAACAACCGCUUUUAGUAAGAUUGAUCCUUGGUAAAUAGAAAAUGUUAUCCUGGCCACUACACCACCUCAACCUUCGUCAACUAUUAUUUCAGGAAGGGGAGUAAGUAUGUGUGUGGGUUGGGGGAGGGGGGUGCGUACAACAGAAUCAGAGGAAAUAGAAGAGAAACAAAUCUGCAACUCUGUCAAAUAAAUGCCUUAAUGUCUCUCUGCUCUGCUCUGCUGAAUAGGAUAAUCUGACAGAGAAUAAUGUUUGUUUAGAGAGAGAGAAGGAGAGAGGUAGAGAGUGUGAAAGGGAGGAGGGAGAGAGAUGUGGUGAGUAAGGGGAUGGAGGUGUGGAGGAAGAAGGGGCGCUGGAGGAGCGACGGCAAAAAUACUGAGGAGAGGAGAGAGCAAGAGAGAAAAGAGAGCGGCCAACAACACAGUCACAUCUGGAAGUUAUUGAGAAGUAGAGAGAGCGAGGGAGAGAGAAAGAGAGAGAACUAUUGUGAAUUGAAAAGAGGGAGAAAGGAUAAACAAACUCUAGAUGUAGGGAUAGAUAGAUUUAUUAAAUGUAUCAACUGAGUUAAAGAUUUACGGGAGGACAGAGUUUAUCUAAAAGUUGACAAGAAUUCUACAGUGGACAGAGAGAAAGGAACAGAGGAAACAAAGAGAGAGCGCAAGAAACUGUAAUUCUAUCCUAAGAACAAUCCAUACCAAGAGGGGAGGACGACAAAGAGGGAAAAUUAAUGUAGCUUUCUAAUCUGGAGGACCGUCUAAAACAGAACAAAGUGGACUGAAUCAAAACUUAUGUUAUUGAGUUGAAAUUAAAUCAACUCAACAAAGGAGAAGAGUCCAGAGACCAAAAGAGGAGUCCCUUAGUCUGGAAUUCUUCUACGCAUUUGUCUUCCUAUCAGGGCCUGUGGAGUCAACCAUCAGACAGGAUGUCAGCCUCUCGGAGGUGCCUGUGCUGCGUGAAAUACCUCAUGUUCGUCUUCAACCUCAUCUUCUGGCUGGGAGGGUGUGGCCUGUUUGGAGUGGGAGUGUGGCUAUCAUUCACCCAGUCCGAGUUCUCCUCCCUCCCGCUGUCUUUUCCCUCACUCUCUGCAGCAAACCUACUUCUGGUCGCUGGGGGCGUCACCAUGGUGACAGGCUUCCUGGGUUGCCUUGGCGCCCUGAAGGAGCAGCGCUGCCUGCUGAUGACGUUCUUUGUAAUUCUUUUGAUCCUGGUGUUGACAGAGGUGACUCUAACCCUGGUCCUCCAUAUCUUUCACAACGAGCUGGACACGAAAGCUCAGGAUGAGUUAAAGGAGGGGAUGAAGGAUUACUUGACAGACGAAGGACUGAAGAGGUCAUGGGACAAUGUGCAGAAAAUGGUAGAGGGGGGUGGGGGUUAGGGGAAGCCCACCAAUCUCUAGUUUGUCACCUUAUAUGGUGCUUGUGUCUGUUCUGUGUAUAUUUUGUGUAUUUAGUGAUAAAUCACUUAAUCUGACUGACGAUGAGAGUAAGGACUUACACUGAGUAUAGAAAACAUUAAGAACACCUGCACGUUCCAUGACAUAGACUGACCAGGGGAAUCGAGAGGUGAAAGCUAUAAUCCCUUAUUGAUGUCACUUAUUAAAUCUACUUCAAUCAGUGUAGAUGAAGGGGAGGAAACAGGAUAAAGGAAGAUUUUUAAGCCUCGAAACAAUUGAGACGGAUUGUGUAUAUGUGCCAUUCAGAGGGUGAAUGAGACAAGAAAAAAUAUUUAAGUGCCUUUUAAUGGGGUAUGGUAGUAGUUGCCAGGUGCACCAGUUUGUGUCAAGAACUGCAAUGCUGAUGGGUUUUCACACUCAAUAGUUUCCCAUGUGUAUCAAGAAUGGUCAAACAGCCAACUUAACACAACUGUGGGAAGUAUUGGAGUCAGUACGGGCCAACAUCCCUGUGAAACACUUUCAACACCUUGUAGAGUCCAUGCCUUGACGAAUUGAAGCUGUUGGUUAAAUUAUAAAAAUAUUGUGUCAUUAUUUCGACAGGAUAUACAGCCUACACCUUCUCGUUUUGAACUUCUAAUGUGAGUGGGUCUGGGUUAGCAUCAUGACAACUACACGAGCAGACACCUACCGAUUUGACAGCUCUAAUGCAGUUACACAUCCGACAUGGCAAAAACACCAGGGGUGCGUUCAGUUCACUUGAAUGUUUGCUACGUUGUGGAACAGCUUGUACUGAAUGACACGUUUCUCCAACGCGUUCUUGAACAGACUGAGGUACGUUUGCUCUGUUCGGUGGGUGUGCCAGAGUGUGGCUUGAAGCAUUGACUGACGUAUUUAAAAGGCAGAGGUGCAUUUUGAAAUCAGAACUGCAUGCAGCCCAGCUAUGCGGGUGUAGGCCAUCCCGGCCUUAGUGAUCAUUAAUGGGCCAAUCCCCAGUUCUUGUUUUUUGGAAAUCAGCUAACUUCCUGCAUUUCAACACAUUUUGGCAUGGUGCAGAGAGAAACAUUUGCAGUUUUAUAAUGCUAUUCCACACAUUUUGUCUUGAGGCUAAGAGAAAAGUUUGCAGUUUUAAAGCAAAUUUCCUGCAAUUAUACACUUUUGCUGUUUUAUAGCUCUCCGCUGGGCACUGUUCCAUGUUGGUUCAAUGUAAUUUCAUUGAAAUGCCGUGGAAGCAAGGUUGAUUCAACCAGUGCGUGCCCAGUGGGCCAUCUCAUGCUUUUGUUCAUAUUUUACCAUGAGGCUGAGAGAGAAUUGUGCAAUUUAACAGCUAAUUUCCUGCAGUUAGCCGUGAGUUCUGACUGAUUCGUUGCCAUAGAAAUGUACCUGGCAAAAAGGUGAGCCAUAUUCGUAUGACCGGUUAUACCUAGUUGAACUCAGAGUUGACCUAAGUUACCUCCUAACUCCUCAAACCUGCUUAGUAGGAUACCCCUCAGAACUGACCAUCCAUUGUUUUACUUUGUUUACAAACAUUGGAGUAAAACAAGCUUAUAUUUUGAGGGGUUCUGGUGGGGUACGACAGUUGAACUAAGCUCAUGAGGCAUCUAUAAGUAUAUUCUUCAAGAAUCAAUGGCUACAUAUCAUUCAUUUAUAUGUCCAAAUAUGGAUGUAGCAAUUGUAGAUUGUCCCUUUUCAGGGACCUUACUUAACCAGUCAGCAUGCUACUGUAGCUGUUCCAGUAGACUUCCAGCAAUUGCGCGAACACUAUUUAGCAUUGGCUCGCGAAAAUACCUCUAACUUCAUUCAUACUGGACACAGAGACAUAAAAAUAGUAUCCAUGAGUUCACCAGACUCGGCGUAAGUAGAAAAAGGGCCAAAAUCUGGCACUAUCCCUUUAAAUCUCCUGAAUUGGCUAGAAAGUUACAUCCAUGUACAUACUGUAUAGUAUCAGUGAGUCUGAGGGGCUGUGCAGUUGCUGAUUCAGGGACACAUUCUUUAGGGGCACAAUUUCAAACAAACAAACUAACAAUUUGAAAGAGAGUCAGAGACCAACAGAGAUAAUAACAAAUGCAAUAUUUGUUUCUUAGUUCAAGUGCUGCGGCGUGACCAACAAAACAGAUUGGUACCUCGUGAUCAACGGAACGCUCCCCUUUUCCUGCUGCUCCAGUGGGAUGGACCAAUGUGUUGAAGGAUGGAUCGAGGUCAGACCACUUCUCAAAUGUAGGGGGGGACAGGGAGGAGGGGGAGUCAAGGUUCAACAGCCUGCUCACAAGACAUUUCCCAGCUGCCUACAUGUCUUGCUGUGCGAUGUACAUGUGCGCUCACACUUACAAGAAUGUAAAGAAUGACCCUGCCUGUGAUAAUACAAUUUAUUUUCUCGACUGCGUUCUUUCAACACUUAAUUCUCAUCAACAUAUUGCUCUCCUUCUCAACUCACAUCUGUCCUCCACUCUUCUCUUCUCUUCUCUCCUCUACCCAACCCCCAUCUCCCUCUCUGUCCCCCACCCUCCCCCUCAUCUACUGCUCCUUUGCCUUUGCCCUUUUCUCUUCCCCUUUUCCUCUCACAUUUCCCUCUCCUCCUCCCAUCCUUCCCUCUCCUCCUUCCCCUUUGUCCUUCUCUCUUCCCACGGUUUCCUCUUCCUCUUCCCUCUCUCAGCCGUGUUAUCAGAAGGCCAGACAGUGGCUCCUGGACAACAUCCUCUCUGUCCUGGUGUUUGGAGUCUGCAUUGGCAUUGUCCAGAUCCUGGCUCUGAUUUUCUCCCUGCUGAUGUACUGCCAGAUCCUCCGUGCUGAGAAGUACUUGGACUGAUCUGGGACUGGUCCUUCACAGACAGGAGAGGCUGAAUGAGAGACUCCCUAGCUGGCGCAGAGUUCAUCUAACGUUUCUUUCAAGUUUUGCUUCGGUUAUUUUAAAAAUAACUUCUCCACACCGCGGUGGGAACUAAAAAAAAGUGUUGGCUGGGUCCUGAAUGUUAUAUACCUGCUGCUGGGGAUGGUUUUUCAGAACAUUAGAUCCAGAUCAAAAUCAUCCUUUUUGCAUGUUCAAUUCUGUUUAAGUUUAAUAAAAUAUAUUUGAAUGAGAACACAUCACACAUUUGAAGGGUUAUUUUCCUCUGGAUUGAUGGUUCUUAGAACACUGCACUAAAAACCAUGGUGCACAUUCCAGGUCGUCUUCAUUGCGGUCAUGUUGCUCAGAUCUCACAACGCCUGGCAAAGUGUAAUUCAUUUGGCUUUGAGAGAUCUGAUCAUCUGGAAUACAGCCCUUUACUUAUCAUGUUUACGGAAGGACAUUAUUUGUAACUAUUGGGGACUACGUGCUACUUGUCACUUUCACUAUUAGCCGAUGAUAUUGUUUAGUAGUGAAAAUAUAAAGUGCUAACUCUGAUGUCCAUGAACAAGCAGUGAGAUUUGCCCCAAAGAAACACUUACAGUAUUCUGUUCAACUGCAGCAUAUUUUAAGCAGAAGUCUAAACUAUACGUUUUAAAGUGAGCCUUACCAAAGCAAAUAAAAUGUAAAUACAUUGUAAUUUGUAUGCAUGUGAAGUGGUAGUUGUUUUGUGAACUUGAGCAUUUUGUAAAAUACACACAUGUAUGACUCUGAUUGUGAAUGCGGUAAUAGUUCAAACAACUUGUUUUCCAUAUUGUGCGUAUGAGGUGUUGUCGGUAUGAAUUCACUUCUCUUAUAGUUGAGACGAGCCUAUGCUUUCAUAUACUUAUUCCGUCCAAUAGACAACUGAAGAGGUAAUUGACUUGCAAUAGGGUUCGUCAUUCUAAUGAAAUAUAUAUCACAUAUAAUUAUAAAUGGACUAUGAAAGUAUGCUAUUUAAUUAUGAUCUGCAGUCAUAACACCAAGUAAUGAAACCCAAACCAAACCGAUGACUACACUGUACAGUUCUUUGUAAAACAUGUCUAUAGAAAAACUUUGAUAAAAAAAUUAUUGUAUAAGUACACAUGAUUUUCAGACAAAUACAAUUGUGACAAUUCACGUGUCGUAGUGUUAUAAAAAGAUAAUGCCUUCUCCGUCUCUCAUCACAGGAGAGACUGAGGUCAUAGGAAGGGCCCUGAGUUCUACCUGACCUGAUCGGAAACAACUCCAGGCCUUAGUCCUAGAUUAGAGUUCAUACAGUAUUCCUGUGUUCACCAUUCAAAGGAAGUAGUGAGGAUUUCCCGAGCUGCCUUGACGGUGUAGGGUUGUCAGUCGUACUCCAAAAUCUCUAGCAAACUGAACGAUACUUUCCUGCAGAUGGAAAAUGGGAGGUGUGGGAUUAGAUUUUGAGGGAAAAUCAGAACCAGAUGCCUGAUGUGGUCAGUGACUUCUGCCUCCUGGUGGUUGUGUUUGGAAACAACCUUUAAACAGACAGGGGGCGCCAAUGUCCACAUUUACAUUUUUUAAAAGAGGGGUUAUCUUACAAUGUCACGAAAACGAUGCGCAAGCUUCAAUGGGGCAAAAAUCCGUGUGUUGUUGCGAUUCUGGAUGGCCAGAAGGCUAGCAACAAUGACAAGAUGCCAUGUGGGGAAUUGUAAGUGGCUCGUUUCAGCUAGUUUUAUCUUGUUCUUGAUACCAUACCAUGUCUUGUUUUGAG
rnacentral:lncRNA from 1 species